AGUGGUGGUGUGAGGUGCGCAGGCGGGGCAGCAAGUGGGAUGUGAACCUAUGGGCUUAACCCAUAGCCUGCAUCCAAAACUGUUGCUCUUGAGUGAAGUAGAGGUAGGCGGAAUUCCGAGUGUAGCGGUGAAAUGCGUAGAUAUUCGGAGGAACACCAGUGGCGAAGGCGGCCUACUGGGCUUUUACUGACGCUGAGGCACGAAAGCGUGGGUAGCAAACAGGAUUAGAUACCCUGGUAGUCCACGCUGUAAACGAUGAUUGCUAGGUGUGGGGGGACUGACCCCUUCCGUGCCGGAGUUAACACAAUAAGCAAUCCACCUGGGGAGUACGGCCGCAAGGUUGAAACUCAAAGGAAUUGACGGGGGCCCGCACAAGCAGUGGAGUAUGUGGUUUAAUUCGAAGCAACGCGAAGAACCUUACCAGGUCUUGACAUCCAACUAACGAAAUAGAGAUAUAUUAGGUGCCUUUCGGGGAAAGUUGAGACAGGUGGUGCAUGGUUGUCGUCAGCUCGUGUCGUGAGAUGUUGGGUUAAGUCCCGCAACGAGCGCAACCCUUGCCAUUAGUUGCUACGCAAGAGCACUCUAAUGGGACCGCUACCGACAAGGUGGAGGAAGGUGGGGACGACGUCAAAUCAUCAUGCCCCUCAUGACCUGGGCUACACACGUACUACAAUGGCCGUCAACAGAGGGAAGCGAACACGCGAGUGGGAGCAAACCCCCAAAAGCGGUCUCAGUUCAGAUCGCAGGCUGCAACCCGCCUGCGUGAAGUCGGAAUUGCUAGUAAUUGCGGAUCAGCAUGCUGCGGUGAAUACGUUCCCGGGCCUUGUACACACCGCCCGUCACACCAUGAGAGCCGGUAAUGCCCGAAGUCAGUGUUCUAACCGCAAGGGGGAAGCUGCCGAAGCAGAU
rnacentral:rRNA from 1 species